AAAUUGAAGAGUUUGAUCAUGGCUCAGAUUGAACGCUGGCGGCAGGCCUAACACAUGCAAGUCGAACGGUAACAGGAAGCAGCUUGCUGCUUUGCUGACGAGUGGCGGACGGGUGAGUAAUGUCUGGGAAACUGCCCGAUGGAGGGGGAUAACUACUGGAAACGGUAGCUAAUACCGCAUAACGUCGCAAGACCAAAGAGGGGGACCUUAGGGCCUCUUGCCAUCGGAUGUGCCCAGAUGGGAUUAGCUAGUAGGUGGGGUAAUGGCUCACCUAGGCGACGAUCCCUAGCUGGUCUGAGAGGAUGACCAGCCACACUGGAACUGAGACACGGUCCAGACUCCUACGGGAGGCAGCAGUGGGGAAUAUUGCACAAUGGGCGCAAGCCUGAUGCAGCCAUGCCGCGUGUAUGAAGAAGGCCUUCGGGUUGUAAAGUACUUUCAGCGGGGAGGAAGGGAGUAAAGUUAAUACCUUUGCUCAUUGACGUUACCCGCAGAAGAAGCACCGGCUAACUCCGUGCCAGCAGCCGCGGUAAUACGGAGGGUGCAAGCGUUAAUCGGAAUUACUGGGCGUAAAG
rnacentral:rRNA from 1 species